GACGAACCGUGCGAACGUUGUUCGGAUUCACUGGGCUUAAAGGGCGCGUAGGCGGGCGGUCAAGUCGGGGGUGAAAUCUUUCAGCUUAACUGGAAAAGUGCCUCCGAUACUGAUCGCCUCGAGGGGGGUAGGGGCAUGUGGAACUUCCGGUGGAGCGGUGAAAUGCGUAGAUAUCGUGAGGAAGACCAGUGGCGAAGGCGGAUCUCUGGACAGUUCCUGACGCUGAGGCGCGGAAGGCCAGGGGAGCAAACGGG
rnacentral:rRNA from 1 species